rnacentral:lncRNA from 1 species
GUAGACCAACGGGCUCAGUGACCCCGGCAGAUCUUGGCUUCGGGGAGCAAAUCAGCGGCAGGGGUCAUGAAAGGCUAAAAACAAAAAAAAAUCCCAGCGCCCUGCCCGCCGCUUCCGUCCUUGCGGAGUUUAGCGGUUACGAAGAAUCACAGAAAACGCCGGAGAUGGAACAGCGACGAACCCCUGCCAGAGCGGGGACUGCACGAGCCCCCGGUUGGCACAGACCGAGCCCUCCAGCCUGGCCUUAAGACUGAUUUGCUGGUUAAAACAUCCUGGAUCGAACUGACUUGGCAUCCAGCUGCCCCCUCACCGGGUCUGUUCGAAGCAGUAUCUCCCGGCCGCGGGGGUAUUGCAGGGCAGUUUGAGCCUCAGCGGGGACAUCUCGUGCUUAUUUUUAGCCUUGUUUCUAAGAAGUGCCUGAUAAGCAGGAGCCUGUGUUGGUUAACGGCAUGAAACAUUAACGACUUGGCAGGUGAGCCGCAGGCGCCUCCCCACCGCAGCGGCCGGGCUGGCGGCUGGGGGGGCGGCNNNNNNNNNNNNNNNNNNNNNNNNNNNNNNNNNNNNNNNNNNNNNNNNNNNNNNNNCAAAAAAAACCUAGGCUUUGAGAGAGAGUCGCUAUAGAGGAGGUUUGCAAAAGCCCCAGGCGCGACCUGGGCAAAGGCAGCUUGCAGCAACCUUUGAAAUACCCCUCCCCAGGUCCCGCGCUGCGCCGCGCUCAAAACAGCCCUAUCGCCGGAUCGGAGCCUCCGGGCUUAAUUAAUUCAGUUUCUGAACUUGCAAAUGAGUACAAAUUUCUCCCGAGCAUGCUAGGACUUAAUUAAAACUUGCUAAAGAGCUUAGAUAUCUUUGCAUGAAAUAGCAAGGAAUGCGGGGGGUUGUUAUUACUUUGCUAAUCAUUUUCUGUGGGCUUGGCAAACGGUACCUCCGCAACGCCGAGAAAUCCCCUGGUUUGGGGCUCUCAGGAAGGAACGAAAUUAUAAUAAUGAGCUUGGUUAUAAUUAAUUGCUCUCUGGGGAUACUUUCUCAUUACGUCCAGUUCUGCGGGUGGGAGUUUUCUCCAAGGACCAUCGAAGUGCAUGAGCGGCUUCAGGCGCCGAGCUGUCGCUGCACUUGGGACCCCUAUGCCAUGAUCGCAUCCUGCAAGACCUGGGAGCUGGGACCCUCCGUGAGCAACGCGUGGAAAAAAAAGGCCCUUCCCUUGGAAGGCAGUGGGCAGGAUUCACUCAUCGCUGGGAGUGAGGAGGCCGCCUCUGCCCACAUUCCUGUGUUGCCUGCCCUACUCCAGCAUAAAAUCCUAAGUGUGAGCUGGCCGGAGGCUGGAAGUCCGCACGGUCUCUACCUGACCCUCCAGGUAAGAAACGCUUGGUGCUCUGCAGAGUUAGAGCUGGGAGACCGAAAACAUGCCGCGCUCUGCAGCGGGGACUGGCUGCAAGUGCGCAAGCAUGGAUCUUGCCAGCUGUGUGUCUGCAGGGGUGAUUGCCACCUAAAUUUUAUACCAGAUGGCUGCGCGUGGGGUGCUGCAAAGGACACCCUGCGUGCCGCUGAGCCGCGGGACUGGAGGCGGCGUGGGGCUGAGCUCCAGGACCAGCCCGCGAGAGCCCGGCUCCUCCCGGGCGUCCCGCUGCUCGGCCUUCUCUCGAGCAGCUGCCGGCUGCCGUGAGCGGCUCUCCCCUCUCUCUCGGUGGAUCAGCUCGUUGCCCCCUAGGUUUCGGCGCCGCCUUUUUUGAACAGAGCUUUUCCCCUUUAAGGGCACGAUUCCUUCCGGUCUCUGCUCUGAUCCUUGUGGGUCUCAGUGGAGAGGGAAGCGGCGGGGGAAACAAUGUGUCAGCUCUCUGGCAAGUUUUCAGGCAGGCAAAACGGACAGACCACAGUGCCAUUUUUCUACGGCUUUUCUUGACUUGCAUAAUCAGAAGAAUUCAGAGCAGGAGGGAGAUAAGCAAACGCUCUGCCUCGAACCCAGGGCUGCAGAUCAGCACGUUGUGCAAGGCGGGUGAAGAUGGGGGACAGUGUCAGGACACCUGGGUGCUGUUUACAUUGCUGUCACGGUUCAUUUUGCGCUUCAGGCUAAUCAUUUAAAUUCUGCUCCUUUGAAAGGAAGGAAAAUACCUUGUUAUCUCAAACUAGCUUUGAAUAAGCCUUAAUGAAUUCCCUUCAGCAAAAGCCUUCUGGAACUUCAAAUGAAGGCACCUUAGAAAUGCAAGUCUCCAGUCUUGACAGCUCUCUGUGGAUUGUGCUGCCUCCUCCUCCUAAAUUGCACUCAGAAACAUUUUGCUUGUAAUGAGGAUUCGCCGCUCUGUCUCCCUUUGCCGGCAUGAGACAUAUUUCUUUGACAUUGCUCGCUGGCGGAAUAACGCCACCUGCUCCGAGAUAAGAUAUAAGUAAGAAAAGGAACUUUUGACCAGGGUAGGGAGCAAUUGUGCAGCCUUAGCUAAUGAGUGGCUUGCCUUUCGGAAAGCAUGCUGCCAGCACUUUUCUACCACAGAAAAAACAGAUUUUUUUUUCCCCUCGCAAGCCAGUGAACAUACAGUUAUAGAACAGAUGCCUGCACUUUUGACCUUCCCUGUACUCCCCUCCCUCCUUCCCGAUUUCUUCUCCAGUUUUAUCCGAGUUGGAAAUUGUGCCCCAUCUGAAUGGGUGCCUCUGACUCCUGCUUUGUGGCA